rnacentral:rRNA from 1 species
CCUGCCCAUCAGAAGGGGAUAACACUUGGAAACAGGUGCUAAUACCGUAUAACAAUCGAAACCGCAUGGUUUUGAUUUGAAAGGCGCUUUCGGGUGUCGCUGAUGGAUGGACCCGCGGUGCAUUAGCUAGUUGGUGAGGUAACGGCUCACCAAGGCCACGAUGCAUAGCCGACCUGAGAGGGUGAUCGGCCACAUUGGGACUGAGACACGGCCCAAACUCCUACGGGAGGCAGCAGUAGGGAAUCUUCGGCAAUGGACGAAAGUCUGACCGAGCAACGCCGCGUGAGUGAAGAAGGUUUUCGGAUCGUGAAACUCUGUUGUUAGAGAAGAACAAGGAUGAGAGUAACUGUUCAUCCUUUGACGGUAUCUAACCAGAAAGCCACGGCUAACUACGUGCCAGCAGCCGCGGUAAUACGUAGGUGGCAAGCGUUGUCCGGAUUUAUUGGGCGUAAAGCGAGCGCAGGCGGUUUCUUAAGUCUGAUGUGAAAGCCCCCGGCUCAACCGGGGAGGGUCAUUGGAAACUGGGAGACUUGAGUGCAGAAGAGGAGAGUGGAAUUCCAUGUGUAGCGGUGAAAUGCGUAGAUAUAUGGAGGA